rnacentral:rRNA from 1 species
GAUGAACGCUGGCGGCGUGCCUAAUACAUGCAAGUCGAGCGAACAGAUAAGGAGCUUGCUCCUUUGACGUUAGCGGCGGACGGGUGAGUAACACGUGGGUAACCUACCUAUAAGACUGGGAUAACUUCGGGAAACCGGAGCUAAUACCGGAUAAUAUUUCGAACCGCAUGGUUCGAUAGUGAAAGAUGGUUUUGCUAUCACUUAUAGAUGGACCCGCGCCGUAUUAGCUAGUUGGUAAGGUAACGGCUUACCAAGGCGACGAUACGUAGCCGACCUGAGAGGGUGAUCGGCCACACUGGAACUGAGACACGGUCCAGACUCCUACGGGAGGCAGCAGUAGGGAAUCUACCGCAAUGGGCGAAAGCCUGACGGAGCAACGCCGCGUGAGUGAUGAAGGUCUUCGGAUCGUAAAACUCUGUUAUUAGGGAAGAACAUACGUGUAAGUAACUGUGCACGUCUUGACGGUACCUAAUCAGAAAGCCACGGCUAACUACGUG